UAGGGUUCGAUUAUGGCUCAGAUUGAACGCUGGCGGUAGGCUUAACACAUGCAAGUCGUGCGAGAAAGUAUCUUCGGAUAUGAGUAGAGCGGCGGACGGGUGAGUAACGCGUAGGAAUCUACCUAGUAGAAGGGGAUAGCCCGGGGAAACCCGGAUUAAUACCGUAUACCUCCUUCGGGAGAAAGAAGGCCUCUCUUUGAAGCUUUCGCUACUAGAUGAGCCUGCGUAAGAUUAGCUAGUUGGUGAGGUAAUGGCUCACCAAGGCUACGAUCUUUAGCUGGUCUGAGAGGGCGAUCAGCCACAUUGGGACUGAGACACGGCCCAGACUCCUACGGGAGGCAGCAGUGGGGAAUAUUGGACAAUGGGCGCAAGCCUGAUCCAGCCAUACUGCGUGUGUGAAGAAGGCCCUUCGGGUUUGUAAAGCACUUUAAGCAGGGAGAAAAAGUUAUAGGUUAAUACCCCUAUGACCUUUGAUGUUACCUGCAGAAUAAGCACCGGCUAAUUCCCGUGCCAGCCCGCCCGCGGUAAUACA
rnacentral:rRNA from 1 species